GAUGAAGAACGUAGCGAAAUGCGAUAAGUAAUGUGAAUUGCAGAAUUCAGUGAAUCAUCGAAUCUUUGAACGCACAUUGCGCCCCCUGGUAUUCCGGGGGGCAUGCCUGUUCGAGCGUCAUUUCAACCCUCAAGCUCUGCUUGGUAUUGAGUCCAUGUCAGCAAUGGCAGGCUCCAAAAUCAGUGGCGGUGCCGUCCGGCUCCGAGCGUAGUAAUUCUUCUCGCUCUGGAGGUCCGGUCGUGUGCUCGCCAGCAACCCCCAAUUUUUUUCAGGUUGACCUCGGAUCAGGUAGGGAUACCCGCUGAACUUAAGCAUAUCAAUAAGCGGAGGA
rnacentral:misc_RNA from 1 species